UUAAGUUAAUAAGGGCGCACGGUGGAUGCCUUGGCACUAGGAGCCGACGAAGGACGUGACAAACGACGAUAUGCCUUGGGUAGCUGUAAGUAAGCGAUGAUCCAGGGAUUUCCGAAUGGGGGAACCCAACAGGUAGUACCUGUUACCCACAUCUGUUAGGGAUGUGAGGAGGAAGACGCAGUGAACUGAAACAUCUAAGUAGCUGCAGGAAGAGAAAGCAAAAGCGAUUGCCUUAGUAGCGGCGAGCGAAACGGCAGGAGGGCAAACCGAAGAGUUUACUCUUCGGGGUUGUAGGACUGCAAUGUGGACUCAAAGAUUAUAGAAGAAUGAUUUGGGAAGAUCAGCCAAAGAGAGUAAUAGCCUCGUAUUUAAAAUAGUCUUUGUACCUAGCAGUAUCCUGAGUACGGCGGGAACGUGAAAUCCCGUCGGAAUCUGGGAGGACCAUCUCCCAACCCUAAAUACUCCCUAGUGACCGAUAGUGAACCAGUACCGUGAGGGAAAGGUGAAAAGCACCCCGGGAGGGGAGUGAAAUAGAACCUGAAACCGUGUGCCUACAACAAGUUCGAGCCCGGUUAAUGGGUGAGAGCGUGCCUUUUGUAGAAUGAACCGGCGAGUUACGUUAUGAUGCGAGGUUAAGUUGAAGAGACGGAGCCGUAGGGAAACCGAGUCUGAAUAGGGCGCCUUAGUAUCAUGACGUAGACCCGAAACCAUGUGACCUACCCAUGAGCAGGUUGAAGGUGCGGUAAGACGCACUGGAGGACCGAACCAGGGCACGUUGAAAAGUGCUUGGAUGACUUGUGGGUAGCGGAGAAAUUCAAAAGAACUUGGAGAUAGCUGGUUCUCUCCGAAAUAGCUUUAGGGCUAGCGUCGACAUUAGAGAUUCUUGGAGGUAGAGCACUGUUUGGGUGAGGGGUCCAUCCCGGAUUACCAAUCUCAGAUAAACUCCGAAUGCCAAUGAAUUAUGGUCGGCAGUCAGACUGCGAGUGCUAAGAUCCGUAGUCGAAAGGGAAACAGCCCAGACCACCAGCUAAGGUCCCAAAAUAAUUGUUAAGUGGAAAAGGAUGUGGGGUUGCACAGACAACUAGGAUGUUAGCUUAGAAGCAGCUAUUCAUUCAAAGAGUGCGUAAUAGCUCACUAGUCGAGUGACCCUGCGCCGAAAAUGUACCGGGGCUAAAACAAUUUACCGAAGCUGUGGAUACCUUUAUAGGUAUGGUAGGAGAGCGUUCUAUGUGUGAUGAAGGUAUACCGUGAGGAGUGCUGGAACGCAUAGAAGUGAGAAUGCCGGUAUGAGUAGCGAAAGACAGGUGAGAAUCCUGUCCACCGUAAGACUAAGGUUUCCAGGGGAAGGCUCGUCCGCCCUGGGUUAGUCGGGACCUAAGGAGAGACCGAAAGGUGUAUCCGAUGGACAACAGGUUGAUAUUCCUGUACUAGAGUAUGUAGUGAUGGAGGGACGCAGUAGGCUAACUAAAGCAGACGAUUGGAAGAGUCUGUCUAAGCAGUGAGGUGUGAAUUGAGUCAAAUGCUUAAUUCUAUAACAUUGAGCUGUGAUGGGGAGCGAAGUUUAGUAGCGAAGUUAGUGACGUCACACUGCCAAGAAAAGCUUCUAGCGUUUAAACAUACUCUACCCGUACCGCAAACCGACACAGGUAGUCGAGGCGAGUAGCCUCAGGUGAGCGAGAGAACUCUCGUUAAGGAACUCGGCAAAAUGACCCCGUAACUUCGGGAGAAGGGGUGCUGACUUAAAAUCAGCCGCAGUGAAUAGGCCCAAGCAACUGUUUAUCAAAAACACAGCUCUCUGCUAAAUCGUAAGAUGAUGUAUAGGGGGUGACGCCUGCCCGGUGCUGGAAGGUUAAGAGGAGUGCUUAGCGUAAGCGAAGGUAUGAAUUGAAGCCCCAGUAAACGGCGGCCGUAACUAUAACGGUCCUAAGGUAGCGAAAUUCCUUGUCGGGUAAGUUCCGACCCGCACGAAAGGCGUAAUGAUUUGGGCACUGUCUCAACGAGAGACUCGGUGAAAUUUUAGUACCUGUGAAGAUGCAGGUUACCCGCGACAGGACGGAAAGACCCCAUGGAGCUUUACUGCAGUUUGAUAUUGAGUGUCUGUACCACAUGUACAGGAUAGGUAGGAGUCUAAGAGAUCGGGACGCCAGUUUCGAAGGAGACGCUGUUGGGAUACUACCCUUGUGUUAUGGCCACUCUAACCCAGAUAGGUGAUCCCUAUCGGAGACAGUGUCUGACGGGCAGUUUGACUGGGGGGUCGCCUCCUAAAAGGUAACGGAGGCGCCCAAAGGUUCCCUCAGAAUGGUUGGAAAUCAUUCGCAGAGUGUAAAGGUAUAAGGGAGCUUGACUGCGAGAGCUACAACUCGAGCAGGGACGAAAGUCGGGCUUAGUGAUCCGGUGGUUCCGUAUGGAAGGGCCAUCGCUCAACGGAUAAAAGCUACCCUGGGGAUAACAGGCUUAUCUCCCCCAAGAGUUCACAUCGACGGGGAGGUUUGGCACCUCGAUGUCGGCUCGUCGCAUCCUGGGGCUGUAGUCGGUCCCAAGGGUUGGGCUGUUCGCCCAUUAAAGCGGCACGCGAGCUGGGUUCAGAACGUCGUGAGACAGUUCGGUCCCUAUCCGUCGCGGGCGUAGGAAAUUUGAGAGGAUCUGCUCCUAGUACGAGAGGACCAGAGUGGACUUACCGCUGGUGUACCAGUUGUCUUGCCAAAGGCAUCGCUGGGUAGCUAUGUAGGGAAGGGAUAAACGCUGAAAGCAUCUAAGUGUGAAACCCACCUCAAGAUGAGAUUUCCCAUGAUUAUAUAUCAGUAAGAGCCCUGAGAGAUGAUCAGGUAGAUAGGUUAGAAGUGGAAGUGUGGCGACACAUGUAGCGGACUAAUACUAAUAGCUCGAGGACUUAUCCAA
rnacentral:rRNA from 1 species